CUGGUCUCUCCUCCUCACCCGCAGCUCACACAGGCACAGGGCGCUGCCAUGCCUGUUGACUCUGUGUUUGCACAGGAAAACGAAAGCCUGGCAGAUGGGAACCACUCAUGAAGAUGUGCCUGAAGCAGCACUCUUCAGAUCCUGACACUUUUCUUCGAUUUCCAAUUUUUUACUUCACCUUAAACUUUCCCUGUGAAUACGGAAACCAGUUUAUGUAGCAGACUACAUAGGUUAUAAAUUUCAGUUAUGAAAUGCACACCACUCAGAUCAUGAUGCCCACAUGUGCUUUGUGCUAUGAGCAUGUGUUGUGCUUGUACCAUGGGCGUUUAGCCUAUAGGAUGAAGAGUGAAUGGAAAACCGGGGAGCUUCGUGGACCUGUCAAUGAGGAACAAACAUGACCGAUAUCCUGGCCAGAUUCCAGGAGCGGCUGUGUUAAAAUGUACCUGUCUGUGGCUAGCAACUCGAGGACCACUUUCAAAAAACGAGAAGAAUCCGUACACACAGAAGGCAAUCAGAAUUUUACUGUUUUUUUAACCCUAAAAUAAAUAAAUAAAAAUGAAUGCUCUGAGACUGUAAGUAAAUAAAGGAUUUCUAAAACACCU
rnacentral:lncRNA from 1 species